GCCUGGGUGGCUCAGUCGGUUGAGCAUCCGACUUCGGCUCGGGUCAUGAUCUCACGGUCUGCGAGUUCGAGCCCCGCGUCAGGCU
rfam:Felis catus isolate Cinnamon breed Abyssinian chromosome B1, whole genome shotgun sequence.